GUUACAGUCAAACCAUUCUGACUCGUCUUUCAGUGUUUACUGCUCACCUGCUUGGCGUCAGUCUGGACUCAAAGCUGUUGGCCUUCAUGGUGAUGGUGUCGAUGACAGUUUCCCUCCUUUCGGAUCACUGCUACUUCGGUGUUUUUUAGUAGGCAAAAUGGAUCUACUGGAAGGACACCUUGACCGCCACACCUGACUUGGCCGUGCAACUGCCAGAAACAUGCCUUCCUUAAAACGUUGGGCUAUUCUCCAGCAUCUUGGGCUUUCUUCCUCUGAAGCAUCCCUCUCCACCAUGUGGCUGCUUGCCUGCUGUGUCUGACCUCCAUGCUUCUCAGGGCAUGGCUUUCUGUCCUCCUCUCCUCUACUGCCUUCCCCCAGAUGAAGUCACAAUAUAUGCAAAAGGACUGAAUGCAAUAAGAAUAAGGGAAACGUCAUGACAAACAU
rnacentral:lncRNA from 1 species